GGACUCUGAGAGAGAGAACAGGGAGGGGUGUGGGGUUCACCUGUGUCAGCGCUGUGGAUCCCCAGGUGGACUCUGAGAGAGAGAACAGGGAGGGGUGUGGGGUUCACCUGUGUCAGCGCUGUGGAUCCCCAGGUGGACUCUGAGAGAGAGAACAGGGAGGGGUGUGGGGUUCACCUGUGUCAGCGCUGUGGAUCCCCAGGUGGACUCUGAGAGAGAGAACAGGGAGGGGUGUGGGGUUCACCUGUGUCAGCGCUGUGGAUCCCCAGGUGGACUCUGAGAGAGAGAACAGGGAGGGGUGUGGGGUUCACCUG